AGGUCUGAUACUCUAUCUUUCAGUGAUGUUCUAAAACCUGGAACAUAGUUUGUCUGGCCUGG
ensembl:miRNA mdo-mir-7385c mdo-mir-7385c